CAGCUUAAUUCAGCAUCUCAAUUGCACUGUUAAGAGAAACCUUUGCAGCGCCUCCCCUGCAGCUAGCAAGAGGCAAACCAAGGCUUACUGUGUUCUAACAAAAAACAGGGAAAGAGCAGGCACUGCUUGGGAACAAGAUGAGUAAAAUAAUCCAACUCUGUCUAGGACUCGUCAUACUGGCCUUCAUCUUACCCGACCAGGUGCACAGUCAGACCUCUGCAAAGCCCAGUCUUACCAAUUCAACAACUGCGCACAGUAAUUCCACAUCUGUGUCAAGUGCCAGCAGUGGAUCACAAACUUUAACAACUUCGACAAACGCAACUACGCCACGUGGAAGUGCAGAUUCUUUAUAUGGAUCGUCUAUCAUGUUCUUUAGUCUCAUCUCAGUCUCUGUUCUACAGCUCUGCUCUUAAAAGACCAUGGCCUAAAUUCAAAUACUGCACUGUCCUCCCACCACCACCUCUCCUCCCAUCUGGUCAGGCAUCACAAACAUUUAUGGAAGAAUAUACACAACUCCAAAACCAAAUCAGACUAUUCCCCAUUGCUCUACUCACGCAACCCUGAUGGAGAGACUGAUAAAACUGAAGCUUCCAAGCUGAAUGAUGUGACAAGGUUCUCAACGAAAUCAGGAAAACGAAGGGCAGCAUCAGUGUCAAGUCCAUUAAAAUCUAAUUUGCCUAAGUGAAAGCAACCGAGAUACGAUCUAUCUUUAAACUCAAACAGGUCUUAAGAGGCAUAGCUGGUGAUCUAGACUAUGCAGUUGUCGUCUAGAAGAUGGCGGCCAAACUCAUCCUUGAAGGAAAGAAAGGAUUGUUGAAUUUUGCCCAUAUUCAAUCCCUAUAAGCAUCCGUGUUUAUAUAAGACAAAUACAUAUUAGUGUAAGUUAGUGCUUUUAUCUAAAUAAAAUCUUAAGAGAAAUGAUUUUUUUCAUUUUUUCCCCAGUAGGAUUUUCAACAUAUAUUUGAAUGUCUCAGGGUUUAAACCAUUUUCCAAACAGCAAGACAAAUGUACCCUUUAGAACUUAAACAGAUUCAUUGAAUAUUUCUUUUAAAGUGCAUUUCAGAUAUUUUAUCUUAAUUAAAAGAUGCCGUUUUAAUGCUGGACCCAUGAUUACCCAGACAGUUGUAAGUUUCACAAAUUUAUUAUCAUUAAAGAUCUGUGUAGAUUGUUAGUUCUAAGCCCUCCCAGUUACGAUGAAAUGUAUCAAAUAAAAGUGUUGUCCAGAUUUCUUCACUUAUACUAAAGCAAUUUAAUUGACAAAAUGGGAGCAUAUUGAAUGCACUAGAUUGAAAACAAAUCAUAAAUCAAUGCACAAUGUUAUGAAAAACAUCAUUUCUCUGGAGUAAUUUUUUUUCCAGAAAAUUAGGUUAGAGAUCUUAUGUGUGUGUGUGCUCAUUUUGUCACAUUUUGAUUACCAAUAUUUUUACAUACAUUAAACAAUAUUAACUUACA